rnacentral:rRNA from 1 species
AUGCACGCUGGCGGCGUGCCUAAUACAUGCAAGUCGAGCGAACGGACGAGAAGCUUGCUUCUCUGAUGUUAGCGGCGGACGGGUGAGUAACACGUGGAUAACCUACCUAUAAGACUGGGAUAACUUCGGGAAACCGGAGCUAAUACCGGAUAAUAUUUUGAACCGCAUGGUUCAAAAGUGAAAGACGGUCUUGCUGUCACUUAUAGAUGGAUCCGCGCUGCAUUAGCUAGUUGGUAAGGUAACGGCUUACCAAGGCAACGAUGCAUAGCCGACCUGAGAGGGUGAUCGGCCACACUGGAACUGAGACACGGUCCAGACUCCUACGGGAGGCAGCAGUAGGGAAUCUUCCGCAAUGGGCGAAAGCCUGACGGAGCAACGCCGCGUGAGUGAUGAAGGUCUUCGGAUCGUAAAACUCUGUUAUUAGGGAAGAACAUAUGUGUAAGUAACUGUACACAUCUUGACGGUACCUAAUCAGAAAGCCACGGCUAACUACGUG